GCACUGCCCACAAUGGCUGGAACAAUGAGGAACUGGGAGGAAGGGAAAGAGAAAUAAAUGAAUAACUUGACGUCUACAGGAUCAAGACUUCCGCUUAAAAAAUGCAGAGGUUUGCCAAUUCUUAUGUUUCAAGGAAACAUUCAUCUCCCUUGGAUAAUCAAAACGAGAGAGUGCAAUCAAGCCGCCGCCUCCAAGUUUCUGAAGAAACCAUUCCUGAGGCCUAAAUGGAAAAGCAGAUGCAAAAUGCAAGUAAACUCCUACACCUCGAGCCUACUCUCUCCAACCCCCAAAA